GGAUGUGCACAGGAGGGAGGGUUAGCGAAGAAAGGGGGAAUGGAGGAGGGAGGUACGGAGGAGGCAAGUCGAGGAGGAGGAGGAGGAGAAGAAAGGGGGCAUGAGAGGAAGCAGCACGGAUGGGUGGAGGGGCGGCAAGAGGAGAGCGCGCAUUGAAAAGAUAGGAUCCAGCACUUUGGCAUUUAACAAGAUUUAUUCUUCUGUGUGCCUCGUUGAAAGGAAGAGCGAAUGAAGAGGGAAUGAUGAGCUCAGAACCCAGAUCCUUCUGUUAGCUUACUGAAGUGGAAAAAAGAAGAACAGUUAUUAUGAAGAAAAGAAAAUUCACAAGGUGGAUGGAAAACGGGACCAGGACAGUGGUAGAUAUGCCUGAGCACUGGUACUUUCCUUAGUAGCCCGUGGGGUGAAUUCUGUGAAGAAACAGGGAGUUGGUCAAUGCUACCCAUUUCACCUGAUCUGUCAUUCCUACAAGGCAAGGAGCAGCAGGGGAGAAGGCAAAGAAUAAGAGGCAUGAAGUGUGGAGUGUAUAGUGAACUGAGGAAAAGAAAACAUUCCCUGAGGGCAAUUUCACCCCUAAAUCACCAGCACAUAUAUCUGCCUUGUCUCCAGCUUAACAGGGUGGGUACCCAUAGCCAUACCCAUACCCGUACCCUUUCCCCCCAACUCUGAAAAUAUUUAUUUUCUUGAAAUAUGUCCUACUAAGUACUGGGAGCAGAGGGAUGCCCCUUGGGGCGGAGGAAGGCACUCUCCAUGGUCCUGCAGAGAAAGCACCUGCCUUGCCCAUGCCUGGGUCAGGAUUAUGGGAAAAGACCAUCGCUCUGACUUUUAAGUAAACGAUAGCAGAAAGCAAGAGGCUUUCAUGCAAAGAGUCUUCAACACCAUUUCUGCUUUUCUAGUUACUAAGCAGAAUAAGUGAUUUAGGUGAGCGUAUGGCUCAUUUCUUAUCAGUUGUACAGUGGCUCUGUUGUAAACAGGUUCUCUCCCUGCAAAAAAUGCUUUAUGAGAUAUGAAUUGCAGAUAAGGAAAACAUGCCAAAAAGGCUGUAACAAAUGAGAACAGACAAAGCAGUGGAUCUGCUCUGCAAGUGUGUGAAAUGGGAGUUCAAACUACAAUUGGACAAUGCAGCAGAGAAAACAAGGUCACCCUCUCCCUCUGACUGAGGAAGUGAGCAGAGAUUUGGGCAGUAAUGUACUGAUUUUCUCCCCCACACCCCAUAUGGGAGGCUGUCACUGUAUUUCUUCUUUACCCAACAAAAAAAGAUACCUAGAAGAACUGAUACUUGGCAUAUCCCGAGGUAGGUGAGCUCUUUCUCACGACGGGUGGCUGUGGAUGUAAAACUGAGUUGUGGAGAAAUCAUUUGCUGCUGGUCUGAAAAUGAGCUGAAACCUGCAAAAAAAGAUGGAACGAUUUAGGAAAAUAGCUACCAAAAUGCUACCAGGAAAGAAAGAGUGGAUGAAAUGCUCCCUUUCUUAUGCAACUUGGUUGUGUGUCAUGUUAGUUCUCCAAAGGCAGUCUCUUUUUUCAUUUUCUGAAUAUAAAUUGUGUCCAUAAUACUGUGUCCAGUCUCCUCUUUUGUUGAUCUCUGCUGCCAUCAACUUUGCUUAAGUUGACCUUUGAACUCAUGGUAAGGAAAAUUUAAAAAGUAAGAAUGUUAUAGGUUCAUGACGGAAGGUGCAAGGUGAGACUGAGAUUUGGAAUGAAUAUUUAUAUAUAUAAUUCUGAAAUGAGCUUACUACCUUUUUUGAGUAUACAAGGUGAGUUCUCCAGCUUCUUCCAGGUUUGUGUUUGUGAGAACAAUGGUAGAAAGACAAAAUGAAAUACCUGAAAGCCCUUUCUAGAUUUGGACAUACAAAACCAUGCUAUUCCAAGGAACUUUGAACUCGGAACCCAGUUUUCCCAAAGAUAUUCUCCUCUCUCCUCUCCCACCAGCGGUUCUUUGACAUUUCCUCCAAAAUAUUUGUGCAAGUCCUGGAGAGGGAAGUUGAGAAAAUAGAGCAUGAAUUAACCCUUUGUCUGCAUGGCGGGUGGUGUAGUCCCUCACCUUUGUCACUGAUUAUCUAACAUUACUUGCUUGAGCCCACUGACUGACAGUCUCUUCAGUACACUUGGUUCUAAGGGCCCCAAAUUCCCCAAGAACUGCAUCAGGUUCACCAAGUAGACGAUUCAGAUGCCUAUUGUUAAGCAUAAUGAGAGAGUCAUUUACAAUUUCUGUCUAUAUGGAGUGUUUUAUAUCUAGAGGAGAAUGUGAGGCAACAUUUUCAAAGCCUAAACUGACAUACGCUGUGUUGUAUAAAGUUUUUUACAUUUAUUUAAUGUCAGUAAUUGCUCAGGAAAUAAAAAUCAAGCAAUUAGUAUCUCUAAAAAGAAUAUGUACAUAUAAACGUAAGACUUGCCAACACAGCGGGAAAGCUAGAAAGGAGGGUAUGAAAUAACUUAGCUCUAUGCCAUCUUUUUAUAGCACAUUCUGUACCACUGGCCAAUUGUGGUAUUUCACAACACAGGUAGUAAAUCACAUCUACCGUAGUGUGUCACACAUAGCAGAUUAAAGAGAAGAAGUCCUGUUUUCAUUCUGGUUGCACUUUAAAAUCAUCAUUAGCAGCUAUGAUCCAUUACUGGGAAACUACUGUCAAAUGGUAUAAUAAAUCAAUGGGUUAGAAGCACUCAGUACUCUGCAUGCACAUUCACACUUGCACUUUUUAUAAAUGUUCUUUUGUACACUGUAUCACUUGUAGAAAAAUACAGAUGUGCCUCUUUAUGGAGUUCAUUGUCUAGUAGCUCCCUCUGUCCUAGUCUUCUAUCACAAAAAUCUUUCAGCUUUUGGCCCUUGUUUUCAUAGUCUCCUUUCAACAUAACGUGCAGGUUGGCUAGAACAAAUUAUAUUCCAUGCCCUGCAUUGGGAAGAUCGGACCAAAUUCCUUUCUGGCAAUAAAGUACCUGGCAGUAGGACUGCAGAGCAUUUGCCAUAGACAUGGGGUAAUCCAGAAUGCUUUCCAAAUGCACAGCUGAAUGGGGCCACUCCAGACCAAAAGUGAGGAAAACCUGGAUGAAGGAGAGUGAUGGUUUGAUCAUGCAAUGCUGAUUCUGCAUAUUUUUACUAUAAUUCUUUCAAAUGAGACAAAACCACAGAAACUAAUUGUUCUUUCUGCAUGUAACAUGCUGAUUAUUCUCUACAUGUGAAGCAUACCCUUACACCAGAUAGCUGACUUAGGUCUUGCAUGGAUAUAUGCUAGAUCGGGAAAAAGUGGAAUCAAACAAGUACUUCUGUGACAUGCAAGCACUUCCUCUAAAGGCCAGCCAUGCAUAGUGAGAGUAUGUAAGGAUGUCACUCACCUGGUUAUAGGCACUAUGCAGUUUUAGUAUAAUUCAGCUCUAUUGCAGCAGCCUGGGAAGACAGCUUGUUCUUCUGCAUUCAGUCAGCACCUGCUCCACUUUGUAAGCUGUCAAUGGGCGCUGUGUGCUUGAAAAUGGUGUAGGAGUUUAUGGUAGGGGACUUCGGGUUGCAUGCGGAUAAAUUAACCACCGUGCUUAAGAAACAGAAUAGAGGAGGCAGUCUACAGGGGAAAACCAAAAGUAAAUGUAUCCUACCUGUGUGUUAAAGUAAGUAUAGCCAUGCAAUGAGUUCCUCUGGUCUUCCAAGGCUUCAUGACCAUGAACAACAUGAGGUUGUAGAUGAAGACAAGGGAAUCCUUUUCAGUUCACAAUAGAUUCUGUGAUGAAUAAGUAUGUUGGGCAAGAUUCAACCCUGGGUCAACUAAUCACCUCACCUAGCAGAACGGACAGCAGCUCAAAUGCUCAGUUAUUGUCAUAACUUGUUCACAAGUUCAAAUCGUCCCCCAAAUAAAUAAUUGCUAAUAACUAAAAAUGUCAAGGAGGGGAAAUUAUUUACCUUUACUCUCUCUUUUUUUUUUUUUUAAUUUUAGGAGCUGCUAUACAUCCAAAUCAGACAGUUUCUUGUUUUAUCACUUAUGGUAUGUCAGGCAAGGUUUCCAUAUCAUCUCAUGAAAAUUUCUACAUAGGACUUCUUUUCAAAGUGACUGUUCUCUUCAAUCCUAAACAUAUCAUAAAUUUAACAUUCAGAAAAUUUUAGAAAUAAAAAUGAAGACUGUAUCUGCUGAUCAGGCUGGAACCCUGUAUUUUCACUGUUCUAGGGAAUUUGCUUUUAUCCUUGUAGACUGCAGAAUAGAAGCAUUGAGAAAUACCUACACUGAGUCAUUCUUAUAACAUUUUACAUUCUGUUAUGAUCAUUUAUCUCUCCUUUAAAGGUCUGUACAGUUGAAUUUAUGAUAGUAGGUCAGACUGGUGGGAGAAAGAGUAUGAAAAAGAGAACCUCACAUUUUUUUUCCUUAUUCUUUAGAACAUUUACUAAAAGAUUACUUCCUGUGAAAUGUGAACUAAGCAUACGUUGUGAUGAUGUGGUCUACCAUUAAGAACUUUUUUGUUCUAGAUUUUGUUGAUUUGGAACCCAUUGAUGACUUUGCAGUUCAUAUGAAUUGUAGCUAUUCAUGUGCAUGUAUACAUAUAUAGAAUUUCCUUUAAAAUAAAAUAAACAUAUUGUUAAAAAAAAACCCCCAACAGAAUAACUGAGUUCUUUUGCCAAGAUAAGCAUACCCUUCAGUGCAAAGGUGUAACAGUGGUGACACUACAGGUCAGAGUAUGUAAAGUAAUGCUCAUUAUUCUGUAAUUUUUCCCCAAAGGCUAUGACCUUCAGUGAAAAUAAAUAACAUUUUGAAAGCAAAGGUAAUGUAAUUAUUCAUAGACUGUUUUGGAUUAGUUGGCAGAAAAGCAAAUAUUUCAGUUUCAGCUUGAAAAUCAAGCCAUUAUUUAACUUUCAAUGUGCAGUUCCCAUAGUAAAUUCAUUUUUAAUGGGAUGGUGUACCUGGUUUGUGCUUGGUAAUUCAGCUAUAAAAAAUCUGAGCUGUGCCCCAUAAAUCAAUCUGAAUGGUAUGCCAUAAGACUGCAAUAAAUUUAUGAGCUGCCUUAAAAAAAAAAACAGAGCAUGUAUUAAGUUUUUUAUGUGUUGUACAUAUCACAAGUCAAAUCUUUGACUCUAGAAAUACAACUAUGGGAGGUUUUAAAAUGGUAAAAUCUCAUUUGGGUCACCUGGAAUCCUUUGUAUUUAGUAUUUCCCCAGCCUGCAACUGAUCUUUGGGAUCCCUUUCAGAUUUAUUGGAAGAUCUGGCUGUGAGUCACUUCCAGGGAGUCUUGCUGAAGUUCCUUAAAGAUAAUGUACAUUUGUGCUACUGGAAAAUAUUUACUAAUGGGGAAGCGUAGCUGUAUAUGUGACAACUGUUUGUCUCUGCAGGUCAUUCAUUUCAUGGAUGACAGUAGGGUCCCAGAGUUAUAUGACUGCAGCCCCUCACAGAGGCUUUUUCUUCUGUAUCUUAAGGAUUAAUAUGUGAUGCACACAGUAGUCAGAAUGAUGAGAAAGGUGUAGAAGCCUAAAUAGGUGGAGUAACCUUUUGCUAGUAUUUAUAACAAGCAAUGAUGUAGGAAACCUUGUGUCUGAAGCCUGGCUGGAGACCAUCUCGAUUGCUGUUGGGUAGCUGACAGCAGCGUGUGUUUGGUGCCAAAGUUUCUACAUCAGCUGAAACGCAGAACUGGUAACGGCACUGGGUGAGCACAUGGAGCCGCAUCUUUGCUGAGACACCAACCCGGCUUUGGACAGCCACAGCGUCUCCCAUGGAAACAGAGGGAAUAUUAUACUGGGUCGAUUUAAUGACUAGCUCAUGCAAAGAUUAAAAUCUGACAGAGCAAGCAGUAAUGAUGUCAUUAUCCUCUUUCUACCUACAGAAAG